rnacentral:sRNA from 1 species
UCCAUUUUCGGACCUCAGUCCCCUGAUGU